GUGUUAUGGAGGUUCACCUGGGAAAAAUCAGGAGGCCGCCAAAUGUAGCUGUGGGAUGGUAUCACAAUAAUCCUGGACAUCCGGAACUAUUUUCCCCACAAGAAAACUACCUGAUAUUUAGAUCUGAAUGAGUUGACUAGUUACGAGCUUGAGCAGAAUGAAGCAAAGACAGCAGGUAUGGGAGCACGACAGUUGGAGCCUAUACCUUCUAGCAACAAUGGUUCCUUCUACCAGAACCUCAGAAUUGUUCCCUGCCCUUCCUAAAUCUGGUUCUUCAAAUUUCCUUUCCACCAUAGGAGCCAGUCCAAUAUUUUUCUCAUAAGUUUUCCUUUUUCUUCCCCCACACUGGAUAAAGUCAGUUCUGUUGCUUACAACCAUAGGGUCUUAAUUGACAUUGA